rnacentral:rRNA from 1 species
GAUGAACGCUAGCGACAGGCUUAACACAUGCAAGUCGAGGGGCAGCAUAGAAGUAGCAAUACUUUGGUGGCGACCGGCGCACGGGUGAGUAACGCGUAUGCAACCUACCUAUCAGAGGGGAAUAACCCGGCGAAAGUCGGACUAAUACCGCAUAAAACAGGGGCACCGCAUGGUGAUAUUUGUUAAAGAAAUUCCCUGAUAGAUGGGCAUGCGUUCCAUUAGGUAGUUGGUGAGGUAACGGCUCACCAAGCCGACGAUGGAUAGGGGAACUGAGAGGUUGGUCCCCCACACUGGUACUGAGACACGGACCAGACUCCUACGGGAGGCAGCAGUGAUGAAUAUUGGUCAAUGGGCGGGAGCCUGAACCAGCCAAGUCGCGUGAAGGAAGAAGGAUCUAUGGUUCGUAAACUUCUUUUGCAGGGGAAUAAAGUGCGGGACGUGUCCUGUUUUGUAUGUACCCUGAGAAUAAGGAUCGGCUAACUCCGUGCCAGCCGCCGCGGUAACAC